GUCUGGGAAACUAGCCUGAUGAGGGGGAGUAACUACUGGAAACGGUAGCUAAUACCGCAUAAGACCACGAAACCGCAUGGUUUUGAGGUAAAAAACUACCGGUGGUGUGAGAUGGGCCCGCGUCUGAUUAGGUAGUUGGUGCGGUAACGGCGCACCAAGCCGACGAUCAGUAGCCGACCUGAGAGGGUGACCGGCCACAUUGGGACUGAGACACGGCCCAAACUCCUACGGGAGGCAGCAUG
rnacentral:rRNA from 1 species